UGACAUGAUGAGUUUACCUUGGAAUCUCGUUCGGCUGAACAUUGCUGUUGAGACUUGGAAUCUGAGUCAG
rnacentral:snoRNA from 1 species